rnacentral:rRNA from 1 species
GAUGAACGCUGGCGGCGUGCCUAACACAUGCAAGUCGAGCGAGAAGGUUAUGACUGAUUCUUCGGAUGAAGGAUUAACUGGAAAGCGGCGGACGGGUGAGUAACGCGUGGGCAACCUGCCCUGUACAGAGGGAUAGCCACUGGAAACGGUGAUUAAUACCUCAUAUUACUGAAUUAUCGCAUGAUAAAUCAGUGAAAGCUCCGGCGGUACAGGAUGGGCCCGCGUCUGAUUAGCUAGUUGGUAAGGUAACGGCUUACCAAGGCGACGAUCAGUAGCCGACCUGAGAGGGUGAUCGGCCACACUGGAACUGAGACACGGUCCAGACUCCUACGGGAGGCAGCAGUGGGGAAUAUUGCACAAUGGGCGCAAGCCUGAUGCAGCAACGCCGCGUGAGCGAUGAAGGCCUUCGGGUCGUAAAGCUCUGUCCUAUGGGAAGAAUAAUGACGGUACCAUAGGAGGAAGCCCCGG